GACGAACGCUGGCGGCGUGCCUAAUACAUGCAAGUAGAACGCUGAAGGAGGAGCUUGCUCUUCUGGAUGAGUUGCGAACGGGUGAGUAACGCGUAGGUAACCUGCCUGGUAGCGGGGGAUAACUAUUGGAAACGAUAGCUAAUACCGCAUAACAGUAGAUGUUGCAUGACAUUUACUUAAAAGGUGCAAUUGCAUCACUACCAGAUGGACCUGCGUUGUAUUAGCUAGUUGGUGGGGUAACGGCUCACCAAGGCGACGAUGCAUAGCCGACCUGGGAGGGUGAUCGGCCACACUGGGACUGAGACACGGCCCAGACUCCUACGGGAGGCAGCAGUAGGGAAUCUUCGGCAAUGGACGGAAGUCUGACCGAGCAACGCCGCGUGAGUGAAGAAGGUUUUCGGAUCGUAAAGCUCUGUUGUAAGAGAAGAACGAGUGUGAGAGUGGAAAGUUCACACUGUGACGGUAUCUUACCAGAAAGGGACGGCUAACUACGUG
rnacentral:rRNA from 1 species